AUGACCACCCUGGCUUCAUACUGUGAGUUAUCACAGGAAAGAAGUGUCAUGAGAAAUGAAAGGAGUGCUAUGCUAAUCUCACAUUUGCAACGAUCAGCAUCAGCUAGUUAUUAGCAAGUCAAGAUUCAUUAACUUAAAGGCUGAAACCUGGCUGCUCAGGUUUCACUGUUAGCAUGAAGAGAGCAUCCAGGUGGAGCCUGCUGCCCUAUCUUCUGCCACUCCCACUGCUACUGCCUCCCACUGAGCUGUUCACCUGAAACUGGACUCCAAGGAUGAUUUGGCGGGAAUGGGCCCCUUCCCCUCUUUCAUAAACCAGUGUC
rnacentral:lncRNA from 1 species